GUUUUUAGGUGGAGCUCUUUAGGGAACUGGGAGUGCUGGUUUUUAGGUGGAGCUCUUUAGGGAACUGGGAGUGCUGGUUUUUAGGUGGAGUUCUUUAGGGAAAUGGGAGUGCUGGUUUUUAGAUGGAGUUCUUUAGGGAACUCGGAGUGCUGGUUUUUAGGUGGAGCUCUUUAGGGAACUGGGAGUGCUGUUUUUUAGGCGGAGUUCUUUAGGGAACUGGGAGUGCUGGUUUUUAGGGGGAGUUCUUUAGGGAACUGGGAGUGCUGGUUUUUAGGCGGAGUUCUUUAGGGAACUGGGAGUGCUGUUUUUUAGGCGGAGUUCUUUAGGGAACUGGGAGUGCUGGUUUUUAGGGGGAGUUCUUUAGGGAACUGGGAGUGCUGUUUUUUAGGCGGAGUUCUUUAGGGAACUGGGAGUGCUGGCUUUUAGGUGCCGUUCUUUAGGGAACUGGGAGUGCUGGUUUUUAGGUGGAGCUCUUUAGGGAAAUGGGAGUGCUGGUUUUUAGGUGGAGCUCUUUAGGGAACUGGGAGAACUGGGAACUGGGAAAUGGGAGUGCUGUUUUUUAGGUGGAGUUCUUUAGGGAACUCGGAGUGCUGGUUUUUAGGUGGAGCUCUUUAGGGAAAUGGGAGUGCUGGUUUUUAGGUGGAGCUCUUUAGGGAACUGGGAGUGCUGGUUUUUAGGUGGAGUUCUUUAGGGAACUGGGAGUGCUGUUUUUUAGGCGGAGUUCUUUAGGGAACUGGGAGUGCUGUUUUUUAGGCGGAGUUCUUUAGGGAACUGGGAGUGCUGGUUUUUAGGCGGAGUUCUUUAGGGAACUGGGAGUGCUGGUUUUUAGGUGGAGUUCUUUAGGGAACUGGGAGUGCUGGUUUUUAGGUGAAGCUCUUUAGGGAACUGGGAGUGCUGUUUUUUAGGUGGAGCUCUUUAGGGAACUGGGAGUGCUGGUUUUUAGGUGGAGUUCUUUAGGGAACUGGGAGUGCUGUUUUUUAGGUGAAGCUCUUUAGGGAACUGGGAGUGCUGUUUUUUAGGUGGAGCUCUUUAGGGAACUGGGAGUGCUGGUUUUUAGGUGGAGUUCUUUAGGGAACUGGGAGUGCUGUUUUUUAGGUGGAGUUCUUUAGGGAACUGGGAGUGCUGGUUUUUAGGUGGAGCUCUUUAGGGAACUGGGAGUGCUGGUGCUGGUUUUAGGUGGAGCUCUU